ACGAACGCUGGCGGCGUGCCUAAUACAUGCAAGUUGAGCGCUGAAGGUUGGUACUUGUACCAACUGGAUGAGCAGCGAACGGGUGAGUAACGCGUGGGGAAUCUGCCUUUGAGCGGGGGACAACAUUUGGAAACGAAUGCUAAUACCGCAUAAAAACUUUAAACACAAGUUUUAAGUUUGAAAGAUGCAAUUCAUCACUCAAAGAUGAUCCCGCGUUGUAUUAGCUAGUUGGUGAGGUAAAGGCUCACCAAGGCGAUGAUACAUAGCCGACCUGAGAGGGUGAUCGGCCACAUUGGGACUGAGACACGGCCCAAACUCCUACGGGAGGCAGCAGUAGGGAAUCUUCGGCAAUGGACGAAAGUCUGACCGAGCAACGCCGCGUGAGUGAAGAAGGUUUUCGGAUCGUAAAACUCUGUUGGUAGAGAAGAACGUUGGUGAGAGUGGAAAGCUCAUCAAGUGACGGUAACUACCCAGAAAGGGACGGCUAACUACGUG
rnacentral:rRNA from 1 species